rnacentral:rRNA from 1 species
CCUACGGGUGGCAGCAGUGGGGAAUAUUGCGCAAUGGGCGAAAGCCUGACGCCGCGACGCCGCGUGAGGGAUGAAGGUCUUCGGAUCGUAAACCUCUGUCAGCCGGGACGAACGGUCACUGUGCUAAUCAGCAGUGAAUUGACGGUACCUGCAAAGGAAGCACCGGCUAACUCCGUGCCAGCAGCCGCGGUAAUACGGAGGGUGCGAGCGUUAAUCGGAAUUACUGGGCGUAAAGCGCUCGUAGGCGGUAUGUCAAGUCAAGGGGGAAAUCCCCGCGCUCAACGUGGGAACUGCCUUUGAAACUGGCAAACUGGAGUGUGUGAGAGGAGAGUGGAAUUCCAGGGGUAGGAGUGAAAUCCGUAGAUAUCUGGAGGAACAUCAGUGGCGAAGGCGACUAUCUGGCACAUAACUGACGCUGAGGAGCGAAAGCGUGGGUAGCAAACAGGAGUAGAUACCCGAGUAGUC